rnacentral:rRNA from 1 species
UACGUAGGGUGCGAGCGUUAAUCGGAAUUACUGGGCGUAAAGCGUGCGCAGGCGGUUUUGUAAGUCAGAUGUGAAAUCCCCGGGCUCAACCUGGGAACUGCGUUUGAAACUACAAGGCUAGAGUGUAGCAGAGGGGGGUGGAAUUCCACGUGUAGCAGUGAAAUGCGUAGAGAUGUGGAGGAACACCGAUGGCGAAGGCAGCCCCCUGGGUUAACACUGACGCUCAGGCACGAAAGCGUGGGGGAGCAAACAGG